rnacentral:rRNA from 1 species
GUCCAGACUCCUACGGGAGGCAGCAGUGGGGAAUAUUGGGCAAUGGGCGCAAGCCUGACCCAGCAACGCCGCGUGAAGGAAGAAGGCUUUCGGGUUGUAAACUUCUUUUGACAGGGAAGAGCAGAAGACGGUACCUGUCGAAUAAGCCACGGCUAACUACGUGCCAGCAGCCGCGGUAAUACGUAGGGAGCGAGCGUUGUCCGGAAUUACUGGGUGUAAAGGGAGCGUAGGCGGGACUGCAAGUUGGGUGUCAAAUCUACCGGCUCAACCGGUAGCCGCACUCAAAACUGCAGUUCUUGAGUGAAGUAGAGGCAGGCGGAAUUCCUAGUGUAGCGGUGAAAUGCGUAGAUAUUAGGAGGAACACCAGUGGGGAAGGCGGCCUGCUGGGCUUUUACUGACGCUGAGGCUCGAAAGUGUGGGGAGCAAACAGGAUUAGAUACCCGGGUAU